rnacentral:rRNA from 1 species
AGCGAACGCUGGCGGCAGGCCUAACACAUGCAAGUCGAACGGAUCCUUCGGGAUUAGUGGCGGACGGGUGAGUAACACGUGGGAACGUGCCCUUUGGUUCGGAACAACUCAGGGAAACUUGAGCUAAUACCGGAUGUGCCCUUCGGGGGAAAGAUUUAUCGCCAUUGGAGCGGCCCGCGUCUGAUUAGCUAGUUGGUGAGGUAAAGGCUCACCAAGGCGACGAUCAGUAGCAGGUCUGAGAGGAUGAUCAGCCACAUUGGGACUGAGACACGGCCCAAACUCUUGCGGGAGGCAGCAGUGGGUAAUCUUGCGCAAUGGGCUAAAGCCUGACGCAGCCAUGCCGCGUGAAUGAUGAAGGUCUUAGGAUUGUAAAAUUCUUUCACCGGGGACGAUAAUGACGGUACCCGCAGAAGAAGCCCCGGCUAACUUCGUGCCAGCCGCCGCAGUAAUAC